GACGAACGCUGGCGGCGUGCUUAACACAUGCAAGUCGAGCGGUAAGGCCUUUCGGGGUACACGAGCGGCGAACGGGUGAGUAACACGUGGGUGAUCUGCCCUGCACUUCGGGAUAAGCCUGGGAAACUGGGUCUAAUACCGGAUAUGACCUCCUAUCGCAUGGUGGGUGGUGGAAAGAUUUAUCGGUGCAGGAUGGGCCCGCGGCCUAUCAGCUUGUUGGUGGGGUAAUGGCCUACCAAGGCGACGACGAGUAGCCGACCUGAGAGGGUGACCGGCCACACUGGGACUGAGACACGGCCCAGACUCCUACGGGAGGCAGCAGUGGGGAAUAUUGCACAAUGGGCGAAAGCCUGAUGCAGCGACGCCGCGUGAGGGAUGACGGCCUUCGGGUUGCAAACCUCUUUCAGCAGGGACGAAGCGCAAGUGACGGUACCUGCAGAAGAAGCACCGGCUAACUACGUGCCAGCAGCCGCGGUAAUACGUAGGGUGCAAGCGUUGUCCGGAAUUACUGGGCGUAAAGAGUUCGUAGGCGGUUUGUCGCGUCGUUUGUGAAAACCAGCAGCUCAACUGCUGGCUUGCAGGCGAUACGGGCAGACUUGAGUACUGCAGGGGAGACUGGAAUUCCUGGUGUAGCGGUGAAAUGCGCAGAUAUCAGGAGGAACACCGGUGGCGAAGGCGGGUCUCUGGGCAGUAACUGACGCUGAGGAACGAAAGCGUGGGUAGCGAACAGGAUUAGAUACCCUGGUAGUCCACGCCGUAAACGGUGGGCGCUAGGUGUGGGUUCCUUCCACGGAAUCCGUGCCGUAGCUAACGCAUUAAGCGCCCCGCCUGGGGAGUACGGCCGCAAGGCUAA
rnacentral:rRNA from 1 species